UUAGGAAAUGUGCCGGGCAGGGAGGCAUGCCAUUGGCUCACAGAGAACUGUGUUUGUUACAAGUGCCCUUUGUUUUAUUUUUACUGUGGGAAGCAUAAAGUGGCAUGUAAUUUACGAGGCUCGAUUAUUUAUACUCUGAGGCUAAAGAAGGUCACAUCACUUCCCUGGGAUUUGGUUUCCUCAUCAGUAAUGGGAGCUGGUUGAAUUAGCUGAUCUCUCUUCCUUUCCAGAUUAAUAGUCUAUUUUGGUGCAUCUGGGAUGUGUGUUGUGGAAACAAAUUCACAAGCUGGAAUCCAGAUUACAAGCUCCAUGGAAGUAAACUGGACAAGGCUAGGAGUUUACCUGCUUUGCUCACCACUGUACACUCAGCAGCUGUUAAAUGGUAGGUAUAUGGUGAAUAUUUGUAGAAUGAGUAAAAUCAGAUAUAUUACUGAAUACGUAGGAUAUUGUCUCUCACGCAGACUGGGAUUGUCUAUUCUGUGCAAGUCAGGAGGAUGUACAAGGCAGAGCGGAAGUAUUUUACACUGUUUUGUUCUGAAAGAUGAAAGAGAAUGAUCUCUAAUAGAAUCAUGGGGAUUAAAGGAACAUGACACACCAGCGUUACAGAUGAGCGACCAGCCCCAGAGUGGUAAGGGACUCUCCCAAGGUCCUACCAUCAAUAAGCGCUGGGUGGUGGUAGGUAGGCAAACCAAGCAUAGAUCCGGAUGGGGCAGAGAGAGAGGUUCAAUUCUGACCAGCUUGUCCAAACAUAAAAAUCACAAAAUCCAGAAAAACAGUUAUCCUAAUUUCAGCAUGCAGGGAAGUUAUGUCUCAUUUAAAAAUAUUAGUCUUAUUUGAAUUAUGUAAUGGGAGCAGUGGUGGCCUCAUGGUCAUUUCUGUGCUUGGGGCCUCAGAAGAUCUGAAACCUGUCCAAGCCAGAACCAGAAACUGGACUCAGACCCCGCCCCCAGCCCCGCCCACACACACUGCCGGUCCACGCAUUCCUCUUUCCGCCUUUACCAAGAGCGCCACUGUGCCCCGCCUGACUUGAUUCUGAAGGAAAUGCAGAGGGAGGGUGGGGUAGGGAGAAGGAAUGUGGAUGACAGGAUCCCAGCCCAUUAUUCCCUCUUUGUGCCCGGGGAGGCCACAAGUGACACGAGGAAGAACUGUUAGUCACGUUCUUGGCCUUUGUCACAGGUCCUUCCUUCCUUUUCCUCAUGCUUCUAACUUCCCUCUUCCCCUCAUUUCCCAACCACAGCAAACAGGUUUUGCCCUGAAAUUGCAGUCAUGUGACAGGAUCGGUGUGAACUUCAUGGCAUUAGGGAGACAGUAUGAUGCGUUUUCUGUUAGUAGCUCAGAACCAUGGUAUUCUGCUCUCCUUGAAGUAUUCUCUUCUUUUUCUUUCCUUGUUUUCUAAAUCACUUCUCUUUUAGGGAUUGUGGGUAGGAGGAGAUGAGAGAGAGAACAGAAGACUCUCGGCCAGAGGUCAGCCAACCCCCUCUAUAUUCCAGGGGAGCACUGAGGGGUGGCCCUGAGCCACUUCCACUCAACACUCAGUCAGGCCAGCCCAGGAAGAAGCAGGUGCCACCACCAGCCAACCCUCCCUGAGUCACUAUUGACUUUUCUUGAAGCUUUGUUUACAAAAAUCCUUGACCACAGACAAUGAUCUAAUCCCUGGAAUGAGAAGUGGGUGCAGGUUUUGUGGGGCCUGAAAUACAUACAAAGGGACCCCCUUUCAGAAAAAAGACCUGAAAUUAAAAAUACAAAAUUAGCACAGGACUUCAGAAGAGCCCUCUAUAAAUCAGACCCCUUAAACUACGUUAAGCUCUCUUAAACUGUAUUAGCUUCAGGGUCUAUCCUGGGAGGGCUUUUGACUUUUGGACUGAAAGGUUUUCUUUUGUGACAGUAAAUAAUUUAUGAGGGCAAGGAUUGUUUUUUGUUUGCCUUUUCCACCUCUCCAUCAUUUCGCCGCAGGACCUACUCAUUGUGGACAAUAAAUAUUGGUCCAUGAAUGGUGUUUGUGUCGAUGAAACAAUCAGAUAGGCAGGCGUUGUGCAAGACUGAUGGGCCCACUCUAACCAACGUGCUGUGGAACAAGUCUGUCCUGGAAGUAGUGGAGACACAGAGGAGGAAAAGGUCAGUUCUAUUUGGGGCAGAGGCAUAGUGAUCACGAAAAGCUUCAGAGACAAGUUGAUCUCGACUGGAAAGAUGAGUAAAGGUGUGGGGAUGGUGGUGAAAGGCAUUUCAGGCAGAGAGAGCAGUGGAGCUGAAGCAUGGAGGUGUGAAACCACAUAAGGAUUUCAUGGAAUUGUAAGCAGUUUGGUAUCGGCAGGGUAUGGAGCACAAGAUGAAGGGGGAUUCUUAGCAAGAGGUAAGGCUGAGAGGCAGAAAAAGGUGAAAUACUGAGGGCUUCACAGGAGUUUGGACUUUAGUCUGUGAACCAUGGGAGCCAUUGAUGGCUUUAAAGGGAAUAACAUGCAGUGCCUUUUUGUAAUUUUAUUCUGGCACCUGUAUGAAGAACAGAUUGGGGAUGAGGCAGCAAGACACUCAGGACCCUAUUGCAAUUGUGUAAGUGAAAGGCCAUGAAGACCUGAUCAAAUGCUGUGAUGAUGGCGGUGGUAGGGCCAGGCAGAUGAGGAGAGAUGGUGAGAAUG